rnacentral:rRNA from 1 species
GACGAACGCUGGCGGCGUGCUUAACACAUGCAAGUCGAACGGUGAAGCGCCUUCCUUUUUGGUGGGUGUGGAUGAGUGGCGAACGGGUGAGUAACACGUGAGUAACCUGCCCCCUUCUUCUGGAUAACCGCAUGAAAGUGUGGCUAAUACGGGAUAUUCUGGGUCUGUCGCAUGAUGGGUCUGGGAAAGAUAUUGUUUCGGUGGGGGAUGGGCUCGCGGCCUAUCAGCUUGUUGGUGGGGUGAUGGCCUACCAAGGCGGUGACGGGUAGCCGGCCUGAGAGGGUGGACGGUCACACUGGGAAUGAGACACGGCCCAGACUCCUACGGGAGGCAGCAGUGGGGAAUAUUGCACAAUGGGAGCAAGCCUGAUGCAGCGACGCCGCGUGAGGGAUGGAGGCCGUCGGGUUGUGAACCUCUUUCGCCAGUGAAGCAGGCCUGCCUCGUUUGUGGGUGGGUUGACGGUAGCUGGAUAAGAAGCGCCGGCUAACUACGUG